AGUCGAACGAAGCUUGACGAAUGAUUUCUUCGGAAUGAAUUCUGAUAUGACUUAGUGGCGGACGGGUGAGUAACACGUGAGCAACCUGCCUUUCAGAGAGGAAUAACGGCUGGAAACGGUCGCUAAUACCUCAUAACGUAUAUUUAAGGCAUCUUAGAUAUACCAAAGAUUUAUCGCUGAAAGAUGGGCUCGCGUCUGAUUAGAUAGUUGGUGAGGUAACGGCUCACCAAGUCGACGAUCAGUAGCCGGACUGAGAGGUUGAACGGCCACAUUGGGACUGAGACACGGCCCAGACUCCUACGGGAGGCAGCAGUGGGGAAUAUUGCACAAUGGGCGCAAGCCUGAUGCAGCAACGCCGCGUGAGGGAAGACGGUUUUCGGAUUGUAAACCUUUGUCUUUGGUGAAGAAGAAAGUGACGGUAACCAAGGAGGAAGCCACGGCUAACUACGUGCCAGCAGCCGCGGUAAUACGUAGGUGGCGAGCGUUGUCCGGAAUUACUGGGUGUAAAGGGAGCGCAGGCGGGACUGCAAGUUGGAUGUGAAAUACCGAGGCUCAACCUCGGAGCUGCAUCCAAAACUGUAGUUCUUGAGUGAAGUAGAGGUAGGCGGAAUUCCGAGUGUAGCGGUGAAAUGCGUAGAUAUUCGGAGGAACACCAGUGGCGAAGGCGGCCUACUGGGCUUUAACUGACGCUGAGGCUCGAAAGUGUGGGGAGCAAACAGGAUUAGAUACCCUGGUAGUCCACACUGUAAACGAUGAUAGCUAGGUGUGGGGGGUCUGACCCCUUCCGUGCCGGAGUUAACGCAAUAAGCUAUCCACCUGGGGAGUACGGCCGCAAGGUUGCAACUCAAAGGAAUUGACGGA
rnacentral:rRNA from 1 species